rnacentral:rRNA from 1 species
GUCGAACGGCAGCACGGGAGCAAUCCUGGUGGCGAGUGGCGAACGGGUGAGUAAUAUAUCGGAACGUGCCCAGUCGUGGGGGAUAACGUAGAGAAAUUUACGCUAAUACCGCAUACGAUCUAAGGAUGAAAGCGGGGGACUUCGCAAGAGGCCUCGCGCGAUUGGAGCGGCUGAUAUCAGAUUAGGUUGUUGGUGAGGUAAAAGCUCACCAAGCCGACGAUCUGUAGCUGGUUUGAGAGAACGACCAGCCACACUGGGACUGAGACACGGCCCAGACUCCUACGGGAGGCAGCAGUGGGGAAUUUUGGACAAUGGGCGAAAGCCUGAUCCAGCAAUGCCGCGUGCAGGAAGAAGGCCUUCGGGUUGUAAACUGCUUUUGUACGGAACGAAAAGGUCUGCCCUAAUACGGUGGGCCCAUGACGGUACCGUAAGAAUAAGCACCGGCUAACUACGUGCCAGCAGCCGCGGUAAUACGUAGGGUGCGAGCGUUAAUCGGAAUUACUGGGCGUAAAGCGUGCGCAGGCGGUGAUGUAAGACAGUUGUGAAAUCCCCGGGCUCAACCUGGGAAUUGCAUUUGUGACUGCAUCGCUAGAGUACGGUAGAGGGGGAUGGAAUUCCGCGUGUAGCAGUGAAAUGCGUAGAUAUGCGGAGGAACACCGAUGGCGAAGGCAAUCCCCUGGACCUGUACUGACGCUCAUGCACGAAAGCG